rnacentral:rRNA from 1 species
GGGGAAUCUUGCACAAUGGGCGAAAGCCUGAUGCAGCGACGCCGCGUGCGGGAUGAAGGCCUUCGGGUUGUAAACCGCUUUCAGUGGGGACGAGGCCGCGAGGUGACGGUACCCACAGAAGAAGCCCCGGCUAACUACGUGCCAGCAGCCGCGGUAAUACGUAGGGGGCAAGCGUUAUCCGGAUUCAUUGGGCGUAAAGCGCUCGUAGGCGGUCCGUUAGGUCGGGAGUUAAAUCCGGGGGCUCAACCCCCGCCCGCUCCCGAUACCGGCGGACUUGAGUUUGGUAGGGGAAAGUGGAAUUCCCAGUGUAGCGGUGGAAUGCGCAGAUAUUGGGAAGAACACCAGUGGCGAAGGCGGCUUUCUGGGCCACAACUGACGCUGAGGAGCGAAAGCUAGGGGAGCGAAC